UGGGGAAUAUUGGACAAUGGGCGGAAGCCUGAUCCAGCAACGCCGCGUGAGGGAUGACGGCCUUCGGGUUGUAAACCUCUUUCGGUAGGGACGAAGCGCAAGUGACGGUACCUACUAAAGAAGCACCGGCCAACUACGUGCCAGCAGCCGCGGUAAUACGUAGGGUGCGAGCGUUGUCCGGAAUUAUUGGGCGUAAAGGGCUCGUAGGCGGUUUGUCGCGUCGGGAGUGAAAACUAGGUGCUUAACGCCUGGCUUGCUUUCGAUACUGGCAGACUAGAGGUAGGCAGGGGGGGACGGAAUUCCUGGUGUAGCAGUGAAAUGCGCAGAUAUCAGGAGGAACACCGGUGGCGAAGGCGGUUCUCUGGGCAUGACCUGACGCUGAGGAGCGAAAGUGUGGGGAGCGAACAGG
rnacentral:rRNA from 1 species